GCCCGGCUGGCGCAAUGGUAGCGCGCAAGACUUCUACUUCAGUGGAUCUGCUCAUCCAGAUCACCGAAAAUGUCAAUCUUGAGGCUGUGGGUUCGAGUCCCACGUUGGGCU